rnacentral:tmRNA from 1 species
GGGGGCGAACUGGAUUCGACCGGACGAUCUGAGGUGUCGGUGGCGUGCCCAGGUUCUCAGGCGGCCUGGUUAAACACCUGAGACUAAUUUUACUUGCCAAUCCUAUGUUGGCAAUGGCCGCCUAAUCAGGCGACCCGUCCGGUGGGCCUUGCCCGCGAGGCCCGCCAGGACGCAGACAGCGGGCUUACCGGAUGACAGUGGCCUGGUUAGCCAUUCGGGAAAUUCCGUCAGGCUGGGCCUGAUGAACCGUGUCGCUUGCGGGUCUGAGGGCCGAGAUUAAAACAAGCGACUACGCACGUAGAAGCCGGCACUGAAACGUCACGGGACGCGGGUUCGAUUCCCGCCGCCUCCAGUG